CGCGGGAUUAGAGUUUGAUCAUGGCUCAGAUUGAACGCUGGCGGCAGGCCUAACACAUGCAAGUCGAGCGGUAACAGGAAUUAGCUUGCUAAUUCGCUGACGAGCGGCGGACGGGUGAGUAAUGCCUGGGAAUAUGCCUUAGUGUGGGGGAUAACUAUUGGAAACGAUAGCUAAUACCGCAUAAUGUCUUCGGACCAAAGAGGGGGACCUUCGGGCCUCUCGCGCUAAGAUCAGCCCAGGCGAGAUUAGCUUGUUGGUGAGGUAAGAGCUCACCAAGGCGACGAUCUCUAGCUGGUCUGAGAGGAUGAUCAGCCACACUGGAACUGAGACACGGUCCAGACUCCUACGGGAGGCAGCAGUGGGGAAUAUUGCACAAUGGGCGCAAGCCUGAUGCAGCCAUGCCGCGUGUAUGAAGAAGGCCUUCGGGUUGUAAAGUACUUUCAGUGGGGAGGAAGGUGUUGUCGUUAAUAGCGGCAGCAUUUGACGUUACCCACAGAAGAAGCACCGGCUAACUCCGUGCCAGCAGCCGCGGUAAUACGGAGGGAGCGAGCGUUAAUCGGAAUUACUGGGCGUAAAGCGCAUGCAGGUGGUUCAUUAAGUCAGAUGUGAAAGCCCGGGGCUCAACCUCGGAACCGCAUUUGAAACUGGUGAACUAGAGUGCUGUAGAGGAGGGUAGAAUUUCCAGAGUUUGAUCAUGGCUCAGGAUUAAACUCUCUGUAGAAGGGGGUAGAAUUUCA
rnacentral:rRNA from 1 species